rnacentral:misc_RNA from 1 species
GUGAAUCAUCGAAUCUUUGAACGCAUAUUGCGCUCUCUGGCAUUCCGGAGAGCAUGCCUGUUUGAGUAUCAUUAAACAACAUCAAGCCACCCCCUUUUGUAUAAGGGUUGGGGCGCUUGGACCUGAGCUUUCUCAGCAGGGAGGAAUGGGGCGGGGAAUCGUAUGUGCGAAUCCAAUUCCCCCUCCCCCCACUGGGUUGCUUUAAAUGCAUGGGUUGCAGGCUUGUUCAGCUUACGGCGUGAUAUUUUAUCCUCACGGAUAAUCCCCUUCGCCCAGACACUGUGGCAAGCGCGGCGAUCU